GACGGAAGGUGCAAGCGUUGCUCGGAAUUACUGGGCGUAAAGCGUGCGCAGGCGGCGCGUUUAAGACAGGUGUGAAAGCCCCGAGCUUAACUUGGGAAUUGCGCUUGUGACUGGCGUGCUGGAGUGUGGCAGAGGGAGGUGGAAUUCCACGUGUAGCAGUGAAAUGCGUAGAGAUGUGGAGGAACACCGAUGGCGAAGGCAGCCUCCUGGGCCAGCACUGACGCUCAUGCACGAAAGCGUGGGGAGCAAACAGG
rnacentral:rRNA from 1 species